rnacentral:rRNA from 1 species
AAGGUCGGUGAAAACCCGACCCGCCGAAAGCCCAAGGAUUCCUGUCCAACGACGAUCGUGGCAGGGUUAGUCGGGCCUAAGUCAAGGCCGAAAGGCGUAGACGAUGGACAGCUGGUUAAUAUUCCAGCACCACACCAAAAUC